GAUCGGGCACAAGGGAAAGAAUGGGACGAAGCUAUGGGAGAUCGAGACAUGAAUUGAGAGGCUCCGGCAAUGCUUUCUUGCCCGAUCAGCAGCCACACGAAUGGGGAAGGCAAAACAGAUUGGUAAUCUCCUAGGGGUGUUUUAGGUGGUUCAAUCGAUUGAAUCGGAUGGAGAGGAGGGCGAAGCGAGGCGACUGUGAUCCUCGGACGGGAAGGAAGAGACGAAGCAGCGGGGCUGCUCGUCUUCUGUCUUGGAAGUACUUGCGAAGGGAAAGAGGUCCGAAGGGGUCUGGGAGGCGUCGCGAACAGCAGCAGCGACGAUGACCGGUGUUCGGUGGGUUUGCUUGUCUUCUGUCUUGGAAGUUGUUGCGAAGGCGAAAGAGCUCCGAAGGGUACUGGGAGGCGUCUCGAGCAGCAGCAGCGACGAUGACCGGUGUUCGGUGGGUUUGCUCGACGGGAGGGGAAGAUAUGGGUGCGACGGGGAAGAUGAUUCUGCAACAACAGGUAAUCGUCUUUUUUUUUUUUUUUUUUUUUUUUUUUUUUUUUUUUUUNUUUUUUUAUGUGCAUCGAUGGAGAGUAUGAAUGUUUGGUUUUUAAUAGAAAAGGAUAAGAAAAACAGAUGCUCGUGUUUGAUUGUUGACAGAAAUCGUCCAGCCUCCCUUGCUCUUCUUCUUCCCUUCUUUUGACUGUAAAUGUUUAAAUCAAUAGGUUUAGAUGGGUUUUUGGUGUGUUUGGAUUCGAUGUUCAACAGGGAAGAGGGAAGGAUAGAAGCAUUAACGAACAGGGGGUCUUGGCUGUGGUCUUUGAUGGACGAAUUAACGAAGCAAUGCAGGUGAUGGUUGGCUUGAUUGUUGAUUUUAUUGUGUUUGAGUGUUAACCUGGUUCUUAUUGACAGGUAAUGUAGAAGAGGAUGAGUGUGAAGGGGGUUGUCUCCAGUGACAAACGGAAACUUUGGUUUGAGUGUAGUCAUGUCAAUUGUGUAUAACACAUCUCCUUUUGUGUGAAAUUUUGGAUGUGUUAGAAUUUGUAGCUGG
rnacentral:lncRNA from 1 species